rnacentral:rRNA from 1 species
UAAGCAUAUCAAUAAGCGGAGGAAAAGAAACCCAACAGGGAUUGCCUCAGUAACGGCGAGUGAAGCGGCAACAGCUCAAAUUUGAAAUCUGGCCUCUUGGGGUCCGAGUUGUAAUUUGUAGAGGAUGUUUCGGGUACCGCCUCGGUUUAAAUUUCUUGGAACAGAAUGUCAAAGAGGGUGAGAAUCCCGUCUUGGACCGGCGGUAGGGCCUAUGUGAAACUCCUUCGACGAGUCGAGUUGUUUGGGAAUGCAGCUCAAAAUGGGUGGUAAAUUUCAUCUAAAGCUAAAUAUUGGCCAGAGACCGAUAGCGCACAAGUAGAGUGAUCGAAAGAUGAAAAGCACUUUGAAAAGAGAGUUAAACAGUAUGUGAAAUUGUUGAAAGGGAAGCGCUUGCAACCAGACUUGAGCGCGGCGGUUCCCCCUUGCUUCUGCUUGGGUUACUCCGCCGUGUCCAGGCCAACAUCGGUUCUGGGGGUCGGUCAAAGGCUCUGGGAAUGUAUCUACCCACGGGUAGACUUAUAGACCAGGGUGUCAUGCGACCUCCCGGGACCGAGGAACGCGCUUCGGCUCGGAUGUUGGCGUAAUGGUUGUCAGCGACCCGUCUUGAAACACGGACCAAGGAGUCUAACAUCUAUGCGAGUGUUUGGGUGUCAAACCCGGAACGCGGAAUGAAAGUGAACGGAGGUAGGAAGCUUCGGCUGCACUAUCGACCGAUCCUGAAGUUUACGGAUGGAUUUGAGUAAGAGCAUAGCUGUUGGGACCCGAAAGAUGGUGAACUAUGCCUGAAUAGGGUGAAGCCAGAGGAAACUCUGGUGGAGGCUCGCAGCGGUUCUGACGUGCAAAUCGAUCGUCAAAUUUGGGUAUAGGGGCGAAAGACUAAUCGAACCAUCUGGUAGCUGGUUCCUGCCGAAG